rnacentral:rRNA from 1 species
GACGAACGCUGGCGGCGUGCUUAACACAUGCAAGUCGAACGGAAAGGCCCUGCUUUUGUGGGGUGCUCGAGUGGCGAACGGGUGAGUAACACGUGAGUAACCUGCCCUUGACUUUGGGAUAACUUCAGGAAACUGGGGCUAAUACCGGAUAGGAGCUCCUGCUGCCUGGUGGGGGUUGGAAAGUUUCGGCGGUUGGGGAUGGACUCGCGGCUUAUCAGCUUGUUGGUGGGGUAGUGGCUUACCAAGGCUUUGACGGGUAGCCGGCCUGAGAGGGGGACCGGCCACAUUGGGACUGAGAUACGGCCCAGAGUCCUACGGGAGGCAGCGGUGGGGAACAUGGCACAAUGAGCGGAAGCCUGAUGCAGCAACGCCGCGUGCGGGAUGACGGCCUUCGGGUUGUAAACCGCUUUCGCCUGUGACGAAGCGUGAGUGACGGUAAUGGGUAAAGAAGCACCGGCUAACUACGUG